rnacentral:lncRNA from 1 species
UGCCUCUGCCAUAUUAGGAGGGCCUUUCGCCUCCCGCCAUGACUCUGAGGCCUACACAGCCACGUGGAACUGCAAGUCCACUUAAACCUCUUUUCGUUCCCAGUUUCAGUGUGGUGGAGAAGGAAGAGAGGGCUGAGGCAGACAAUGUAAGAUCUGCUGUUACAUCUUGCUGUGUGACCUUGGGAAAACCAGGCCAUGUUUGUGUCCCCAAACAUGAGUGAAGAUAAUCUCUCCUAUCUGAGAAAACCAGGAGUGGAGGAAUCCAAUGGGAAAUCUGGCCAAGACUCUACUACCCAGACACUGAAAGAAGAAAUGAUUAACCCUGGAGGCUGCCUCGGUCUGGGUGAAAAAAUAUAUGUACGACCACAGUGCAAUCAAACUAGAACUCAGGAUUAAGAAACUCACUCAAAACCGCUCAACUACAUGGAAACUGAACAACCUGCUCCUGAAUGACUAAUGGGUACAUAACGAAAUGAAGGCAGAAGUAAAGAUGUUCUUUGAAACCAACGAGAACAAAGACACAACAUACCAGAAUCUCUGGGACACAUUCAAAGCAGUGUGUAGAGGGAAAUUUAUAGCACUAAAUGCCCACAAGAGAAAGCAGGAAAGAUCCAAAAUUGACGCCCUAACAUCACAAUUAAAAGAACUAGAAAAGCAAGAGCAAAGACAUUCAAAAGCUAGCAGAAGGCAAGAAAUAACUAAAAUCAGAGCAGAACUGAAGGAAAUAGAGACACAAAAAACCCUUCAAAAAAUUACUGAAUCCAGGAGCUGGUUUUUUGAAAGGAUCAACAAAAUUGCUAGACCGCUAGCAAGACCAAUAA